rnacentral:rRNA from 1 species
CAGCAGCCGCGGGAAUACGAAGGGGGCUAGCGUUGCUCGGAAUGACUGGGCGUAAAGGGCGCGUAGGCGGCAUACACAGUCAGAUGUGAAAUUCCUGGGCUUAACCUGGGGGCUGCAUUUGAUACGUGUAGGCUAGAGUGGGGAAGAGGGUUGUGGAAUUCCCAGUGUAGAGGUGAAAUUCGUAGAUAUUGGGAAGAACACCGGUGGCGAAGGCGGCAACCUGGUCCUUGACUGACGCUAAGGCGCGAAAGCGUGGGGAGCAAACAGGAUUAGAUACCCCCGUAGUCCCUGUCUCUUAUCA